rnacentral:lncRNA from 1 species
GUAAUUAUUUUUAUACAAUUUUUAAUGAUUUUCCCAAUUCAGAAUAGGGAAUUCCAAAAUCAAUCUGACAUUGUCUCACAAAAAUUCAAAUUCAUACCAAAUUAGUCAAAUCCUAUUUUAUACCAUAGCCAAAUCUAAAUUUAUUUAUUUCAUCCUUACAUUUACAAUUUCAAAAUGACAUACACAUAGGACAUCCUAGGUACAUGCCAUUACCAAUAAUUAACACACUUUACCUUAAUAAAUUUGGGAUCGAACUGGGAUGCUGAUUCAACGUUCUAUCUUUACUAAACCUGCGCACGGAAACAAACCGUACGCUGAGUAUGGUAUACUCAGUGGUAUUUCUAUAAUCCGAACGCUUGAUAAUAUAACAAUUAAACUUAAAAUCACAAUGAUAAAUAUAACCAUUCAUUUAUUUAUUUUAUAGAUAAGUUUCAUUUACUUACCAUAAAAAUUCUAUACAAGCCAUAUAACAAACACAACAACAUAUUUGCUCAAUUCUUUUCAUUUGCUUCCUGUAUAAAUUCUUUACAAUAUAUUCACAAUUCACUUGUAUUCACACUUUACUUCUUAACAAUAUACCAUUUUAAUUCAUUAUAACAUCAAUCAUCAUCCAUUUGAACUUCACUCAUUUCAUGAACCUUUUGGUUCAUAUUUUCAAUCUUAUAUCUCAAUUUCAAUUCUCAAUUCAAUUUCUCAUUUCAUUCCAAUAGUUCAAUCAAUCAAAUUCACUCGAUUUAUCUUUUCACUUAUUUACCCCUAUUAACAAACCCGGACUUUGACGGAUACACGGAUUCCAACCCAAACACACCAGUACAGCACAUUGUGCCUAAAACGGUACAUAGUACCUUAUCAGUAUACGACACAUAAAGUGCCUAAAACGACACACGAGGUGCCUGAUACGACACACGAGGUGCCUGAAAUACGACACAUAAAGUGCCUAAUCGGUAAAGCCGACAAAUCCCGUACACUUUCAGAUCCUAUGGCAUGCCAAUUAUAUCCGACUUAGCCCGACUAGUUAAUAGGGUAUUUCAUUCACUUUCUCAAUUUAAUAAUUCUUUCAUCAAUAUCUCAUUCAGAUAUUACAUAUUUACCCAUUUUCACAAUUCAUACAAUUUUAUUCAAUUCAACAAUAUAUUUCAACUAUUCACAUUAAUUCAUAAUUCAAUACAAUUCAAUUCAUUUUUCAAUAUCAAAUAUUCAAAUUUCUACAUAAAUCAUAUAUAUUAUAUAAUUCAAUCAAUAUAAAUUCAAUCAAAAUAAUUUCAAUCAAUAUAAAUUUAAUAAAACAUAUAUUCAUAAAUCAAUUCAAUAUAAAUUUAUCAAAUACUAAAUCAAUUCAUUUCAAUUAUAAAGACAGAAUACAAAUAAUUCCCAUCUUAAUUAUUUAUCAUAAUAUUUAUCCAAAAUUCAAUUAUCAUAAUUGCAUAAUAUCUCAUUCACACACACACACACACACACACACACACAUAUAUAUAUUUAUAAUAUAUAAUUCAAUUUAAUUCAAUCAAUUUAAAUUCAUCACAUACCAAAUUAAUCCAUUUCCAUUAUAAACACAAUAAUUCUCACUUCAACAUUUAUUAAAUGCAUUGAAUAAAAAAAAUAUAACAAUUAAUAACUAGGUUCGGAUUAUAGAAAUACAAACCGUAUUUUCUCGAGCUAACUUCCUUUGUCUUUGCCAUUUUUUUCCUUGCUUAGCCGAGGUUUCCCGAGACAACAUUAGCUACGGGAAUUAAAACAAUUCAUAUUCGUUAAUUCACUACUAAUUUAUAUCUAAUUAAUACAAUUUUUAUUCAAUUUCUACUUUAAUUUCAAUUUAAUCUUAACUAGAUUCACUUACUUUUUCUAUCUCAAUUCAUACUUCAUUUCUAUUCAAAUUUUGUCCAAACUCAUACUUAACUAUUAAAUUUCCAACAUAUUUUCAUAAUUUCGAAUUUAUUUCCAUUUAAUCCCUAAAACUCAAAACUUAUAGCUUAGUUUACGAUUCAAUCCUUUAUUCAAUUCCAAUCAAAAUUUCUAUCAAAUAAACCCCCAAUUCCAUCAUUUUAUUCAACAUGAACCAUAUUUAUAAAUCUAAUGACUUUCAAAAUUUCUACUUAAAACAAGUAGUAUUUAUCUCUAGGAUUCCAAAAACUCAAAAAUCAUAAGAAAAGGGGCUAAAUUGACUUACUAAAUUAACUUGGAACCUUUAAAACCUUAUUUUUCCCUUUUUCUUUUCUUCCUUUCUCCCUUAUCUGUUUCGUCCCCUGCUAUUCUG